UCCCCAUCCCCUGGAGACGCUGCCGAGCCAGAAAACGCCGGCGCGGCGCCCGGGGAAGGCUUUAUUCAACCCGCAAACGCGAAAUGAAAGGCAGAGGGGGAGCGCAGAGGUGCGGACGGCGCGGCAGCCGCGCGGCCAAGUUCUAGGAACCAGUGCUGGGUCACCCGCACAGCAAAGUUCUUCCUCAUGUUCAGAUAAAAGCUGGAAGAAUUGACCAUGGGAUGUGCACCAUGUGUCCUUCAUGACCACGCAGCAGGAGAAAUUAGCAUCAUCAAUCAUCAUCAUCAAUCAUUUGGUGUGCUGACCUUUGAGAUCCAAAAGGAGACACAUUCCCUUUGUUUUCUCCAUCCUGGAGAAAGUCUGGAUUACCUGAGCUCCCCAAAGCUCACUCAGGGAUUUACCUGAACAGAUGCAGUCCAGCAAUUAAGAAGAAUCCAGCACUCCUGUGCAUGGAUAACAGGAAUAUUUUCCACUGGAUUACACAAAAUAAAAAUGAAACCCCUGCUAUUUCAACAGCAGCCUAGGAGGGCCAGUGGUUUGGAAGCAUUUCUGGUGGACAGAGAGCAAAAGGAGAGUUUAAUGAUGGUCUGUCUGCAAAGGCUGGGAACCCCAAACUGCAACACCGCGAGGCCAGGACGCCGCGCCGGGGCCGCGCCCCGCCAGCACCCAGGGGGAACUACCAGCUGUGAGCAGCCUAAUUAGCGCGGGGUUAAUGAAGAGCUCAGUCGUCGAAGUCGGGGAUGUCGUCGUAGGAGUAGCCCCGGUAGCCCUUGGAGGCGUAGUAGGCGAUGCGCAGGUGGUAGAAGCCGGGCAGGAACACCAGGAUGCCGAUGAUGAGCACCGGGAUGGCGCGCUCGGUCUCCUGCAGGGACACGGCAUCAGCACAGGGCAGAGGGUGCCCCAGGGCAGCAGUGCAGGGCACCCUCAAGACAGGAAAUUCUUUGUGUCUGACUCAAAUUUGGAAUGCUGAACGCUCGCUUUGGUAAAAAACUGGUUUAUAUUACAUUACAACUAUAUUAUACUGCAUCAUACCAACUGAAAAACUUGUCACUGUCUGCAGACUGACAGUCCACACAGCUUGGACCCCAUAGGUUAAUUAACAUAAACAAUCUCCAUCAGAAUCUAAUGACUGAAUUCCUUCAGGUAGACAGUCUAAUUACUAAAUUCCUUCAAUCUUCCCAACGCAUUCUACGUGUGCAAAACAGGAGGAGCAGCAAGCAGAGGUAAAAAUUGUUUUCCCUCUGUGCUUCUCCAGGAAAAAACCUGAGAGAGAGAAUGAUGUCUGUCUCUGUUCAGAGAAUGUGAAUGCCACACCUCAGGGUUCAGCUUUUUAUGUUUUUCAGCUUCUGUGCUGCUUUAGUGUGCAGUUCUGAGCUUCGUGUGAAGUGUUGUAAGCUCUCUGCACAGGGUAGGGAGACAAAACAAUUCCUUCUCUAGCUGGGGAUUAAGGACAACCACCCAAAUCCCACCCAAGAGCACAAACAACGUGGAAUGAAGAGGGAAAAACAAGGAUGGGACUUAUAAGCUAAAGCUGUAAUUGGACAAUUAACUGCAAUAUGCAAAUGGAGCAGAACUGAUCAAAGUCACAGACCUUGUGACCUGUCGUGCAUUUUGUGCCCAUUUUGGUUCAUCUUGGGUUCAUUUUGGUUCAUCCUGGGUUCAUUUUGUGCCCAUUUUGGUUCAUCCUGGGCUCAUUUUGGUUCAUCCUGGGUUCAUUUUGUGCCCAUUUUGGUUCAUCCUGGGUUCAUUUUGUGCCCAUUUUGGUUCAUCCUGGGUUCAUUUUGGUUCAUCCUGGGUUCGUUUUGUGCCCAUUUUGGCUCACCUUGGGUGCAGCCCUGGCUGGGCUCUUGUGCUGCCCAAGGUGCAUCCAUUGAGGAGAUCCUUUUCAUAAAUCCCUGCUUUAUUCUGUAACCCUGCUCCAGCUCAGCCUUGCCAAGGCACCACAGUGACAUCUCUGAGAGGGGCUCUCCUCCCUCUCACACCCUGCCUGGUCCAGGGGAAGGCUGCCCUGCCCAAGGCAGGUGAGAUGUGAAUGAAUUCUGAGAACCAGCUGAUCUGGAAGGUUCUCUGAACCCAAACCAUCCCGUGGUUCUGUGAUCCAUCCCCAAGGCCUGGCGAGCUGAGCAAUAAAAACCCAUCUUCCACCAGGAACAGCUCAGCUGUCAUCAGGCUGAGCCCCUAAUCCCACCCUGGCCUCUCCUCCUUGCUGCAGGACCCCUCGAGGGACCCCAUCCUUCACCAGGGACCCCCUGGAGGUGCAGGCAGGGCUGGGAGCUGCGAGCACGAGCCCAGGGAUCUGUGCCUGGAGCUGUGCUGAUAGCCCCAGGAGCUGCUGCUGCUGCCAGAGAUAAGGCAGAGCUGCCAACCCCCCUGAGCCCAGGCAGCAGGGGGAGAGGCACCCAGAGCUGCAGGAGCAGAUCCCUGCCCAUGGAUCACCCACAGCCAGAUGGGGAGGUGGUGCUGUGCCCCACAGAGGGUCUGGCAGCUCCUCCCUGUCCCUGAGACCUCUCCAGGACAGGGCUGUGACCUCCCCAGGGACACUCAGCCCUCCUUGGAGAUCCAUUCCCUGCUCACUCCCCGUGGCUCUGAGGUUCUGCACUGAUCCAUCACAGGAUCUUUGAGGCUGGAGAAGACCUUCAAGGUCAUCAAGUCCAAGCAAGACCCAGCACCACCCCCAGGGUCACGUCCUGAGUGCCACAUCCUCGUGUUCUGAACCCUCCCAGGGCUGGGCACUGCAGCAGGCAUUUCCCACAUCAAACCUUUCCUAAUUCUGAAUUGAAACCUCCCCUGGUGGGCAGUGGGGGCUCGGGGCAGUGCAGGACCAGUGCCAGGGGUGUCUGAAGCACUCACCCCUUUGCUGAUGUACCCUGCCAGCAGCAGGGCCCCGAUGAUGAUGAGGAAGGUCCCGAUCAUGAAGAGCACCACAGCCAGCGCGAUGGCCUUGUAGGGGAUUUUGGGUGGGCUCUUCUUGAACUGGGUGGAAAAACCCAAACGUUGAACGGCUGAGCUCGGCACGGCUCCCCUCCCACCACAGCACACAUGGGACCCCAGAGCUGGCACAAAAUUCUGCUCCAGAGCUGCCCUCCAGGGGGAAUCUGCCCUUGAGGCCCUGCUGAGCCAGCCCCUGCUCCCAGGAAGGUUCUUUGGGCUCUCCAGAGGGGCAGGGCUGAGGUCUGGCUCCCUCCUGGCUCUGCCCUCGUGGAUUCACAGCCUCCUUCCCCAUUUUACCUGCAGGUCAAUGUAUCCAUCAUCGGUGCUGGCGAGUUUGGAAUAUUUCACUUUGCUGCUGGGGAUCCCAGCGGAGAGAUUGGUCCUGGAUGGCAUCAUUCCAGGGGGGCCUGGGCAUCAGCUACACCCUGGGAGGCAGGGCCAGGGGCAGAAACAGGAGAGGAGACUGAGGGAUGGCAGUCUGAGAGACAGAGCUGAAGUUCCAGAGGAGAAACUCCCCUGUCAAGGCUGUGCCACCCACCACAGCUCUGCUCCCGUUUGUAAAUUAACACUUUUCCCACAGAGGAGCUAAGCAUUUCAUUUGAAGCCUGAAAUACAAAAUGGAUCGAGCUGCAACAAUGUUUGGAGUCAAGGGAGAACCUGUGCUUAAACCAGCUGGAAAUUCCAGGGCAGGGCCCAGGAAUGACCCAGCUCUCACACAUGUCCAAGCUUUGGCUCUUUCUGAACAGGACACCAGCAAACCAACCCAAACCAGAGCUAAACAAAGCAGCUUUUCAACCACCAGGAGACUUUGCAAGAGA